CAGCCGCCGCGGUAAUACAGAGGGUGCGAGCGUUAAUCGGAUUUACUGGGCGUAAAGCGUGCGUAGGCGGUUAUAUAAGACAGAUGUGAAAUCCCCGGGCUCAACCUGGGAACUGCAUUUGUGACUGUAUAGCUAGAGUACGGCAGAGGGGGAUGGAAUUCCGCGUGUAGCAGUGAAAUGCGUAGAUAUGCGGAGGAACACCGAUGGCGAAGGCAAUCCCCUGGGCCUGUACUGACGCUCAUGCACGAAAGCGUGGGGAGCAAACAGGAUUAGAUACCCCGGUAGUCCCUGUCUCUUAUAC
rnacentral:rRNA from 1 species